rnacentral:rRNA from 1 species
GAUUUCUGGUGUGGUGCAGCCGGCCCGCCACGGUGACGUGUGUGAGUGCCGGCUUGGCCAAGCCAUCCUUCUAGCGACACUGGUGCUACUCUUCACUGAGCCGGUACCAGCGCACUAGAUCGUUUACUUUGAAAAAAUUAGAGUGUUUCAAGCAGGCUUUAUGCUAUGAAUACAUUAGCAUGGAAUAAUAAUUUAGGACUUCGGUUCUAUUUUGUUGGUUUCUAGGACUGAAGUAAUGAUUGAUAGGGAUAGUUGGGGGUGCUAGUAUUCAGCGGCCAGAGGUGAAAUUCUCGGAUUCGCUGAAGACUAACUUAUGCGAAAGCAUU